UUUCUUUACCUGAUAAAUCUUAUUUUGUUUGAGCACUCUAUUUGAGGGGAAAGUGAACCCUAAUCAAUGUGAGGCCUUUACUAUGGUUUGCACUCAGGUAAGGUUUACUGUCUUAUUCUAGUUUACUUCGAUGAUAGACAUUAAUUGGAGAACCUAGUAGUGAGAAACCAUGUGGUCACUACAAUGGGUGGAUGAAAUUUCCAUUUUGAGCUUAAUGUAUUGAAGCCUAUGAUUGCAAAUGCUCUUCUACAUGUAAGUCCAGUUAGCAUUUUUUAGAUAUAAUUUGGACAAGGCAUAUGAUAUAUCAGACAUGUAAUUUAAGAACCUAGGUUCCAUCCUAAAUUCAUUUUCUUUAUUUUUGGGUUUUUCUCACCCUCCUCUCUCUAUAGUUGUUCUAGUGCUUUUGGGAUUUUCAGUUCAGGUUUGUUAAAUUGAAGCAGAGAAAGCUUGAAUCAAGUUUAAAACAGAGCAAAGUAGAAAGCUUAGAGUUUUCAGAUACUCCUUUCUCUUGGUUUCUAAUGCAUUUGUAUUGGAAGGUUGAACCAAUGUUGUAUGGAGAGACUUAUACAAAGUUUACUUGGUUUGAGUAUUAUUACUAUGAUAACAUUCAUAUUAAUUAGCUGCUUUGCUUUCUUUCUUUUUUAACAGCUUAUAUCUUAAGUGAAAAGCUGAUUGCAUGUUUACCAACGAUAGCUUUGCUGAAACAAUUGACUUGAAAGUGCCUGAUUUUGUUGUCCAUAAACACACACCAUAUGUUGUCAUUCUUUUGAAGGUGGCAGAUGAGUGGGGCCAAAACUCAUGGUGUAAAAAAGAGUUCAAGGUUUGUACAUUUAGUCCAACAUUUUAUCUUACCCUUCUAUUGCUGUAUACUAAGGUGGCUUGUUGGAUUUUGAACAUCUCAGGAACUAAAAAGAGCUAGGAUGAGAUCAAUGGACCUGGUGCUUAAUACUUAGAUGUUAUAGAACCAAAUAAAGUCUCUCUGUGUCGCAAGUCUUAUAAAUUUUCAUGCUUACAAAAUUUGUCUCCAUUUCUAAGAUUAAUAUUAACAUGUGUUUGUCUCUUUAUAUAUAUACCUCUCUGUGUUUCCAUGUUACAUAUAAUGUGUCAGAGGUUUGCUUUUCCUUCAAUUGGCAAUGCUGCGGUUCUGUAGUGGAGAAUGUCUAUCCCUGUUUCGGCCCUUCCCCUUCUCCUUCCCUUGGAAGUAUAUGGACAUCACUGUAGGUCCUCUCCAUGUUUUGUGUACUAGCUUAACAGGUAAUUUCCUCUGGAGGUCAUAUCACGGACCUUGGAUAAAGCAUGCCUUUGAGCUAUAAACACCCUCACAGCUAGAUUGAAAUAAUUAAACAAAUUAUUGGGAAAGAUGGUAAAACUAAACGGCAAGUUCCUUGUUAAAAAUUUAUUAUCAAGAGAAUAGUAAGUUUUAUGAUUGUUCGAAAAAAAUUUAUUUAUAAAUUUGUUUGACAAAUUCUGAACACUUAUUUGUUUAUGCUACAUAAGUUGUUCAUCACAUCUUCUUUCUUUAUUUUCCUGAAAAUUCUAAAUUUCUUAUACUGGUUAAUUCAUGCUGGGACAACACACGACAUGGACGGAUGAGAAGCAUAAUUCAUAUCUUGAUGCUUUGGAAGCAUCAUUCAUUAAGCAGUUACACCAUUCCCUGGGUAUGCCAUCCUAGCGUUCAGAAUAGAACACAAUUGAUUCUAAUCCAUCCAAGCAACUGCCUGUCAAUGCUGGUUAUUCUUCUGACCAGUUCACAUUUCUACGUGAUGGCUCUAGGAAGAAGAUCAAUUUUGAGAGGAACUAGCCUUUACUGUAUGGUGCAGCUGGUUCUCAUGUGGUCAUAGAAAGUCCAAGGAUGCAUCAUUUUAGAUGUUCAGGUAAACCCAGCACCAUACCAUCAGCUGAUUUGAAAGAAUGCAACAUGUUUCACAGUGAAGGAAUGCCCUUGAGAGGGAAGAGGAUUUCUCCUGCGGAUUAACCAGUUCAGAACGACAGUGUUUGUGCCACUGAUGUCAUCAGGAUGCAGUUGGCACUAUGAUAGGCAACUGUGGUAACCUUUCAUGUCCUAAAAUAUCCUCAUUUGUUUAGCUUGCUCUGAGUUUGCUGUAUUACUGACUCAACUUUCAGUUGCUCAUUCUUUCCCAUUUUCACCUUUGGCUUUUUGUACUUUCACUAGUAUCUUUCUUUACAACGAUGUUUAGAUAUAGCACUUGUUAUUUUUACUAGCUUUGUGGAGAAUGACUUAGGUGGAGAUGGAAAACCUAUGGGGAUUGACAGGGAAGUUAACAUUUUGAUGGAUGGGUGUUAGAUUUGUUUUGUCCCAUGGAUGGAUGACGAAUACACUUAUCAAAAAAUUACAUGACAAAUAUCUGCACAA